UUGGUGCCUGCUCCCUUUUGGGGGUGGGUGAAAAGGGAAUCGGGUGAGAAUCCCGAGCAGACGGUGCUGCUGUGUGUCCCUACUUUCAUCAAGCCGAUUUGCGAUGCAUGUCACUGCCAUUUCUGUGAUGGUGGGAAGACGGCAAGCCGGUGGGACAAGCCAGAAGACCUGCCAAGUCGUU
rnacentral:ncRNA from 1 species